UACAGAGGUCGCAAGCGUUGUUCGGAUUCAUUGGGCGUAAAGGGUGCGUAGGCGGCGCGGUAAGUCGGGUGUGAAAUCUCGGAGCUUAACUCCGAAACUGCAUUCGAUACUGCCGGGCUAGAGUCCGGAAGAGGCGAGUGGAAUUCCUGGUGUAGCGGUGGAAUGCGCAGAUAUCAGGAGGAACACCGAUAGCGAAGGCAGCUCGCUGGGACGGUACUGACGCUGAGGCGCGAAAGCGUGGGGAGCGAACAGG
rnacentral:rRNA from 1 species